GCGUAGGCGGGGAUGUAAGUCAGAUGUGAAAUACCAUGGCUCACCNGUGGGGCUGCAUNNNAAACUAUGUUUCUUGAGUGCUGGAGAGGAAAGCGGAAUUCCUAGUGUAGCGGUGAAAUGCGUAGAUAUUAGGAGGAACACCAGUGGCGAAGGCGGCUUUCUGGACAGUAACUGACGNUGAGGCGCGAAAGCGUGGGGAGCGAACAGGAUUAGAUACCCUGGUAGNNACGCCGUAAACGAUGGAUACUAGGUGUAGGAGGUAUCGACCCCUUCUGUGCCGGAGUAAACACAAUAAGUAUCCCACCUGGGGAGUACGGCCGCAAGGUUGAAACUCAAAGGAAUUGACGGGGGCCCGCACAAGCAGUGGAGUAUGUGGUUUAAUUCGAAGCAACGCGAAGAACCUUACCAGGGCUUGACAUACAGAGGGAUAUGUCAGAGAUGGCAUAGCUCUUCGGAGCCUCUGUACAGGUGGUGCAUGGUUGUCGUCAGCUCGUGUCGUGAGAUGUUGGGUUAAGUCCCGCAACGAGCGCAACCCUUGUUGUUAGUUGGUAACACGUAAAGGUGACCACUCUAACGAGACUGCCGGUGACAAAUCGGAGGAAGGUGGGGACGACGUCAAAUCAUCAUGCCCCUUAUGUCCUGGGCUACACACGUACUACAAUGGCUACAACAAAGGGAAGCGAAGCCGUAAGGCGGAGCAAAUCCCCAAAAGUAGUCCCAGUUCGGAUUGUGGGCUGCAACCCGCCCACAUGAAGUCGGAAUUGCUAGUAAUGGCAGGUCAGCAUACUGCCGUGAAUACGUUCCCGGGCCUUGUACACACCGCCCGUCACACCAUGAGAGUCAGCAACACCCGAAGUCAGUAGCUUAACCGCAAGGAGGGCGCUGCCGAAGGUGGGGCCGAUGAUUGGG
rnacentral:rRNA from 1 species